AACUUGCUGCUGCUGCUGCUGCUGCUGCUGCUGCUGCUCCUGCUGCAGUAGCUGCUGCUGCAGCAGCUGCUGCUGCAGCUGCUGCUGCUGCAGCUGCUGCUGCUGCUGUUGCUGCUGCUGCUGCUGCUGCUGCAGUAGCUGCUGCUGCAGCUGCUGCCUCAACCAGCUAAUAGCUGCAGCAGCAGUAGCUGCUGCUGCGGCUCAGUAAGGAAGCAACAACGAGAAGCUGCGUGUACACCCGAGAGAGGCACAUGCAGCAGCAGCAGCAGCAGCAGCAGCAGCAGCAGCAGCAGCAGCAGCAGCAGCAGCAGCAGCAUUUUCAGUUG
rnacentral:ncRNA from 1 species